UUAAGCGACUAAGCGUACACGGUGGAUGCCCUGGCAGUCAGAGGCGAUGAAGGACGUGCUAAUCUGCGAAAAGCGUCGGUAAGGUGAUAUGAACCGUUAUAACCGGCGAUGUCCGAAUGGGGAAACCCAGUGCAAUUCGUUGCACUAUCGUUAACUGAAUACAUAGGUUAACGAGGCGAACCGGGGGAACUGAAACAUCUAAGUACCCCGAGGAAAAGAAAUCAACCGAGAUUCCCCCAGUAGCGGCGAGCGAACGGGGAGCAGCCCAGAGUCUGAAUCAGCUUGUGUGUUAGUGGAACGGUCUGGAAAGUCCGACGGUACAGGGUGAUAGUCCCGUACACCAAAAUGCACAGGUUGUGAACUCGAAGAGUAGGGCGGGACACGUGGUAUCCUGUCUGAAUAUGGGGGGACCAUCCUCCAAGGCUAAAUACUCCUGACUGACCGAUAGUGAACCAGUACCGUGAGGGAAAGGCGAAAAGAACCCCGGCGAGGGGAGUGAAAAAGAACCUGAAACCGUGUACGUACAAGCAGUGGGAGCACCUUCGGGUGUGACUGCGUACCUUUUGUAUAAUGGGUCAGCGACUUAUAUUCUGUAGCAAGGUUAACCGUAUAGGGGAGCCGCAGGGAAACCGAGUCUUAACUGGGCGUUAAGUUGCAGGGUAUAGACCCGAAACCCGGUGAUCUAGCCAUGGGCAGGUUGAAGGUUGGGUAACACUAACUGGAGGACCGAACCGACUAAUGUUGAAAAAUUAGCGGAUGACUUGUGGCUGGGGGUGAAAGGCCAAUCAAACCGGGAGAUAGCUGGUUCUCCCCGAAAGCUAUUUAGGUAGCGCCUCGUGAAUUCAUCUUCGGGGGUAGAGCACUGUUUCGGCUAGGGGGUCAUCCCGACUUACCAACCCGAUGCAAACUACGAAUACCGAAGAAUGUUAUCACGGGAGACACACGGCGGGUGCUAACGUCCGUCGUGAAGAGGGAAACAACCCAGACCGCCAGCUAAGGUCCCAAAGUCAUGGUUAAGUGGGAAACGAUGUGGGAAGGCACAGACAGCCAGGAUGUUGGCUUAGAAGCAGCCAUCAUUUAAAGAAAGCGUAAUAGCUCACUGGUCGAGUCGGCCUGCGCGGAAGAUGUAACGGGGCUAAACCAUGCACCGAAGCUGCGGCAGCGACACUAUGUGUUGUUGGGUAGGGGAGCGUUCUGUAAGCCUGCGAAGGUGACCUGUGAGGGUUGCUGGAGGUAUCAGAAGUGCGAAUGCUGACAUAAGUAACGAUAAAGCGGGUGAAAAGCCCGCUCGCCGGAAGACCAAGGGUUCCUGUCCAACGUUAAUCGGGGCAGGGUGAGUCGACCCCUAAGGCGAGGCCGAAAGGCGUAGUCGAUGGGAAACAGGUUAAUAUUCCUGUACUUGGUGUUACUGCGAAGGGGGGACGGAGAAGGCUAUGUUAGCCGGGCGACGGUUGUCCCGGUUUAAGCAUGUAGGCUGAUUGUCCAGGCAAAUCCGGAUAAUCAAGGCUGAGGUGUGAUGACGAGGCACUACGGUGCUGAAGUAACAAAUGCCCUGCUUCCAGGAAAAGCCUCUAAGCAUCAGGUAACAUUAAAUCGUACCCCAAACCGACACAGGUGGUCAGGUAGAGAAUACCAAGGCGCUUGAGAGAACUCGGGUGAAGGAACUAGGCAAAAUGGUGCCGUAACUUCGGGAGAAGGCACGCUGGUGUGUAGGUGAAGUCCCUGCGGAUGGAGCUGAGACCAGUCGAAGAUACCAGCUGGCUGCAACUGUUUAUUAAAAACACAGCACUGUGCAAACACGAAAGUGGACGUAUACGGUGUGACGCCUGCCCGGUGCCGGAAGGUUAAUUGAUGGGGUUAUCCGUAAGGAGAAGCUCUUGAUCGAAGCCCCGGUAAACGGCGGCCGUAACUAUAACGGUCCUAAGGUAGCGAAAUUCCUUGUCGGGUAAGUUCCGACCUGCACGAAUGGCGUAAUGAUGGCCAGGCUGUCUCCACCCGAGACUCAGUGAAAUUGAACUCGCUGUGAAGAUGCAGUGUACCCGCGGCAAGACGGAAAGACCCCGUGAACCUUUACUAUAGCUUGACACUGAACAUUGAGCCUUGAUGUGUAGGAUAGGUGGGAGGCUUUGAAGCGUGGACGCCAGUCUGCGUGGAGCCAACCUUGAAAUACCACCCUUUAAUGUUUGAUGUUCUAACGUUGGCCCCUGACCGGGGUUGCGGACAGUGUCUGGUGGGUAGUUUGACUGGGGCGGUCUCCUCCCAAAGCGUAACGGAGGAGCACGAAGGUUAGCUAAUCCUGGUCGGACAUCAGGAGGUUAGUGCAAUGGCAUAAGCUAGCUUGACUGCGAGCGUGACGGCGCGAGCAGGUGCGAAAGCAGGUCAUAGUGAUCCGGUGGUUCUGAAUGGAAGGGCCAUCGCUCAACGGAUAAAAGGUACUCCGGGGAUAACAGGCUGAUACCGCCCAAGAGUUCAUAUCGACGGCGGUGUUUGGCACCUCGAUGUCGGCUCAUCACAUCCUGGGGCUGAAGUAGGUCCCAAGGGUAUGGCUGUUCGCCAUUUAAAGUGGUACGCGAGCUGGGUUUAGAACGUCGUGAGACAGUUCGGUCCCUAUCUGCCGUGGGCGCUGGAGAAUUGAGGGGGGCUGCUCCUAGUACGAGAGGACCGGAGUGGACGCAUCACUGGUGUUCGGGUUGUCAUGCCAAUGGCACUGCCCGGUAGCUAAAUGCGGAAGAGAUAAGUGCUGAAAGCAUCUAAGCACGAAACUUGCCCCGAGAUGAGUUCUCCCUGAGACUUUAAGUCUCCUGAAGGAACGUUAAAGACGAUGACGUUGAUAGGCCGGGUGUGUAAGCGCAGCGAUGCGUUGAGCUAACCGGUACUAAUGAACCGUGAGGCUUAACCUU
rnacentral:rRNA from 1 species